UACGAAGGGGGCUAGCGUUGCUCGGAAUCACUGGGCGUAAAGGGUGCGUAGGCGGGUCUUUAAGUCGGGGGUGAAAUCCUGGAGCUCAACUCCAGAACUGCCUUCGAUACUGGAGAGCUUGAGUCCGGGAGGGGCGAGUGGAAUUCCUGGUGUAGCGGUGAAAUGCGCAGAUAUCAGGAGGAACACCAAUGGCGAAGGCAGCUCGCUGGAACGGUACUGACGCUGAGGCGCGAAAGCGUGGGGAGCAAACAGG
rnacentral:rRNA from 1 species